UCCCUUAAGUAUACCUAUAAUGGUAUCAACCGAAGACAUCCGUAGAUGUGCAUUUACCUCUGUAGCUAACAGAGGUUCUAGGAAUGGUUAGUCUCGCAAAGUAUCCUUUGGAACGAGGAUAUAAAGUCCAAUCUAUCUCGUCGAUUAUGUUAUUGUAUCACAAAAUAAAGAUAAGAAGGAGAAUUAUAUAACAGUAUCUACACAUAUAAUAUGUAAUAGUAACUCAUCAUAUAACAUUUACAUAAAAGUAUCCAUGUAAACGUACUCAUGUAAGCGUAUCUAUGUAAACGUACUCAUGUAAGCGUAUCUAUGUAAAUGUAUUCAUGUAAGCAUAUCUAUGUAAACGUAUUCAUGUAAGCGUAUCUAUAUAAACGUAUUCAUGUAAGUGUAUCUAUGUAAACGUAUUUAUGUAAGCGUAUCUAUGUAAACGUACUCAUGUAACAUGUAAUGUACUAGUAUAGACUCAUGAAUGAACUGACUCUUGUGUGAUUCCCUAUACUUGGAAUGGUAAGUGGUAUCUCCUAACUAUACCUAUAAUAGUUACUAACCAUGUACGUAUAUAACCUGAAGUAUGCCUUUGCUACCCAAAGGUACUGAACUGACUGAGGAAAACUUUAAUGUCCCUAUAUCUAUACAUGAUAUAUAACUGAUAGUUAAACGACCUUCGGACGGAUACCCGAUACCCUACCAGACCACAUCCCAACGAGGAAAAGGAAAUAAAGCGGGUUAGCCUUCCUAAGUCCUUUAAACAUUAUUUAUAUAACUAUACAUAUACAGGCAUGCAAUUAACAAUAUAAAAGCAUAUAAGGAGUUUUAUAAAACCUUUGAAAAAGAUUAAUACCUAAGAAAAGAUCGACUUGAUGUCAGUUUAUAAAACGGUUUGAAAGUAUUUGUUUGACAAAAACAGUUUAAGUAUAAAGGAACCUUUGUUUGAAACACAAUUGUAACAGGGUUUGAAAUGAAACAUACAGUGUUUAAUAAACUAUUUAAUAAAGAGUUUUAAACACAUAAAAACGUUUAAGAUAAACAUUUGAUGAAAUCUGUUUGGUAAAACAGUUAACAUAUAGUAAAUCCAUUUGCAUGUUAAUUAUUAAUCACAUGUGAUUGAUAUAAUAACUAAACAUGAUUCAACUUGUAUCCCCCCAUAAAGCAUUUAUAAACAUUUAAAAACAUUUAAAAGGUUAAUUCAAGGGGUAUGAACUCACCUGUAGUUGGUGGUUUGGAUGAACUGAAGAUGUAGGAUUGCUAGGUGUCAAGUGAAGACUUGAACACACUCUAUGAUCCUAGUUAACAUAUAAUAUCACAUAUAUGUAUCCAAUUAGUCUUUAAACAACUAAUAAACAAAGUUAAGACACCCUAGGACAUGCUAAACACCUUAUACAAGUGUUAUAAGUCCCAAGGAUUGCAUCUAAGUGUUGUAAGGAAAGGCUAGUGUGCUUGGGGUUCAAGGAAAACUCCAUUAGAGAGUUUACGGUUUUGUGGUCACUAGAAAAAUAUUUUACGGUUGUAAACCCUUGAGUUUAUGGCCGUAAGCUCAUACACUUUUGACCAUUUGUUGGUUUGAAGCCUUAAAAGUCCCUAGAAGCUUUUCUACUUGAAGUAUAAGCUUAUGGAAGAAGUUAGGGCACCAAUUCACUCCUAAUUGGAGUUUACGAUUCCUAAACCAUUUUCCUUUGAGUUUACUACCGUAAACUCAUAAGGUUUAUGGUAUUUUGGGGGGUUUUCAAUUCCUUAGCUCAUCAAAGAAUGGAUCCAUGUCAGUUACUAAGGCAUAGGAAAGAAUAUGAGUCAUUUAUACACACUUUGGGGUGUUUACGGUUUUGGGAGAUCCCUAAACCGUAAACACAUUUAAAUGGGGUUUUAUGGUGCUUUUCAUGUGCUAAAACCAUCAAGGAAGGUUUCCAUACUAGUUUCUAAGCAUAAGGGAAGAGUUGGGGGCACUUUGGCACCCAAAAUAGAGUUUACGGUCCAAGAAGAUCUUGGACUGUAAGCUCCUUUUUCUUGUGAUUCUUGAGUGAUUUCUAUGAUAUCUAAACAUGUAGUAAGCUUUAAAACACUAUAGGGUAGAAUUACUUACAAUUUAGGGCAAAAGAUUGAAGAUCCUUGGGAGAGAAUUCGGGCUUUUCUCUAGUUGAAAUUGAAGAAAUGAACUAAACAUGGCUAAGUGCCCUUUAUAUAGUCCGUUGAGUUUUUGGUCCAAAAAUAUCAUUUGAGCCAUAAACUUCAAACUCUUGGAGUUUUGAAACUUAUAAGAUGCACAAAAUACUCUAGGGCAUCUUCUCUCCUGAUAUCUCCUAAAGUGUAAAUCCUGAAAUACUCAAACUUAUUCUAAAAAGUCUGAAAAUUAACAGCAACUGCUCUGACUUCUAUUGACUUGACAUGUUUGUAUAGAAUAGAAAUUUCGGUUUGUCACAUCAUCUAGGUAAGGAUGUAGGCAUGAAUAAUCAAGCCGAGAAGUGGGGAUACUUCCUAAAUGAUUGAUUCUCGCGCUCCCAAGUGAAUUCGGGUCCUUGGUUGGCAUCCCAGCGGACCUUAACUAAAGGGAAAUGACUAUGAAUCGUUCACAUGACCUCUCGGUCCAUGGUUACUACGGUUCUUCCACGCAGGUGAGGCUCUUGUGGGACUCGAUCUCUUCGAGUGGGAUUUCAAGAGUCUCGUCGGAUCGAUACCUUUUUACAAGUUCGAGACAUGAAGGGUAGAAUGUAUGUUACUGAGUUUGUGGUGUAGGUUGGGUUUGUGGGUUACAGGACCGAUUCUGGCAAGAAUCUCGGAGGUCCUAACUAUUUUGGAUUUGGCUUACCACGCUUUCCGAAGCGUAUCAAUCCUUCCCAGAGUGAGAUUUCCAAAAGGAUUUGGCCUCUCACUUGAAAUUCCAAGGUUUUCUUCCUCUUGCUUGUCUUCCCAGUCAAGGGCCACUCCCUUUUGAGUCAAAGUCAUAAGAGGUUUCGUAAUCCACGGGGAUUUUUGAAUGAACUCUUGACAGUAGGUCAGCGAGACCUAGAAUUUGGUGAAAUCUCGUCGGUGCCUUCGGUGUUGACAAAUUCUCAACGGUUUUAAUUAUUGGAAGGGUCCUCAAAAUUCCCACAUCACUAAUAGUGUGCUUCGGGAAUUCGACCUUCAAAUCUNACUCGUAUUUGGAGAACUUCGCGUAAAGCUUCUCUGAUCGUAAUGUUUCCAGUGUUUAUUGUAGAUGCUCUUUAUGAUUUCCUUCUUACUACGAGAGUAUAUAAGUAAGUCAUUUAUGAUGAACUGAUCCAAGUAAGGAUGGCGUACCCUAUUCAUUAAGUUCGUGAAUACUACGGGCAUAUUGGUCCUAUCCGAGGGGUAUCACUAUGGGCUUGUAGUGUCCGUAUCGAGUUUGGAAGAUUGUCCUCAGAACAUCCUUCACUCACACUCGCAACUGGUGAUAUUUGGAUCUUAGGUCCAUUUCUGAAAGGUACAUCGUUCCUUGCGGUUGGUCAACUGAUUCAUCUAUGAGAGGCAGAGAGUAAUGAUUUCUAAUGGAAGUCCUGUUGAGGUUUCUGAAGAUGAGGUACUUCUGGCAUGAGUACUUCGGAGCUCUGAAAUGAUGGCUUCGCUAGAAAGACGAUUUCGGAGAAAGAGAUGUACGCACGAAACUGAUAUUGUGUGGAUCGAUUUGACUCAAGAUGUAUGAUAAUAUCAGACUUACUUAGAAGUAAAUGACAUUAGAUUUGAACAUAAAAGCGUUACAGAUAAAACACAAUGGUGCAACUUUUAACAGGUUUACAGUACUUUAGAGGAACUAUAGGAAUACUACUGCGAACAAAGUAUACUACAAAAGACAAGUAUACACAGCACGAUGGUCCCUUUACUAACGGGAUCUCACAAAAGGUNCGUGUUGCACUGGUUUUAAACAUGUUUUAAAAGCAUACCAAACACUGAUGAUUGGAAGUGAACCUAUACUAUAGUAGGGUCCUUCGUCGCCUCUUUUCAUUCUGAGGUCAAACUCCUCCUGUCCCAUCGUUCUUCUCUGCUGGGAAGUCCCUCUUGAAGUGUCCCAUUACGCCACAUAGAUGGCAUAUCCGAGAGGUUUGGACAUUGGUAGUUGAAGUAAUGUGUUGGAUCUGGGUCCUGUAGCAGCUGGUAGUAUGUCCAUUCUUGUUGCACUUAAAGCAGUGUAACGGACGACAACUACCCAGAUGAUGAAAGCUACACUCAUAGCAUUUCGGUAGGUUUCCGGCAUAUUGCCUGGCUGGUGUAGGGACAAUUUGAAUACCGGUAGGAAUGGUAGUAGGAGGUACAUAUGUCGUAGCUGUGAAGGUCGUUACCAAUGGUUGUUUCUUGUUCGCCCCUCGAAGCGAUUUUUCCUUAGUGUUAGCCCAAAACUUCCGUUUGUUACUCUUGGUCUUGGAACUCGGGGUGUUGUGGUAGUUUGUUGCUCGUUGAGGUACUUGAUUGUUACCUGGAUUGGAAUUAUUCUUAACAAUCCCGCUAACAUUCGCGUUGUUAGCGUUAAUGUGGGUCAGAAUAGCUGACACGGUAGCCGAGACUGCAGCUUGAAAGGUAGCUGCAUCAAUUUGAAGAGUUGGUGUUUGGUUGAUGGGUUGAUCGUUUCUCUUUGGCGACAUGAUUCUGUUACACGGAAAGAAAAUGAAUUUGUGAGCGAGUAUGGUUGAACCUAGACGUAGAUUGACCGUUUAUGUAAAGAAUAGAAGUAUGCUCUCAUGGGUUCGACCUACAUCCCUAUGAUGCAGUCCUAGCAAAGAGUGGAAGUAAGUUCGUACAAUGGACUCAAGACGUUUGUCGUUCAAGCCGAGGCAUCAUUGGUUGGUGAAUAACAUGAUCCAACCCUUGAAAGAGGCUUGAAAAUGAUUCUGGAGUUAAAUUACUAUAGUCCAAAGACUUUGACUAAAGCAAGUUUGAGAUAGACUCCAAUGAAGGUAUGAUGAAGGUUUUUGAACAAAGCGUGACAUGGAAGUUAGCCGACUGUCAACAUCAUCGAUGUUUAAGAUGUAAUAAGUUUAGGAAAAUUUGACCUUAUAGAAGGUCUUACAUCAUAUCCUGAGUAGCAAAGUUUUGGCCGCAUAAAGGCCUAACUAAGAGUACCUACAGUACAAGGCAGUUCCAUAGAAAAUGCCACAUAAGACAUAGACAGGAACAUGGUUCUUUAAAACAAGAAGGAAAAUAAAGUAAGGCAUCUACUAUUGGCGACGGUCAUCCCUUUGGUGAACUCUUAGUUCAGCCAGUUGGCGUUCCAUAUCAAGUAGGUGUCUUUCGUACACCCUCUGGCGUACUCGGAGUUCUAUGACUUCGGCUCGUGAUUCAGCCAGUGCUCGCAGCAGGGUUUCAUGGUCUCUCUUAGAUCUCUCACGAGCAUCUUCCAGGCGAAUGGUGCGAAGGGUAUGCAUUCUCGCAUUGGCGACAACUUCUGUGAUCUGAUGUAGGGCUGUCCUGCCUUGAAUCUCAUUUCAAGCCACUAUGCGGACCAAAAUUGGCAAGAUUCAGUCUGCUGAGCCCCCAUUGCUCAGGUCAUAAAAGCUUCGGUCUCCAUUAAAUGGCAUGGGCUGAUCCUGUCCUUGGCUCCAUGUUUCCAAGCAUUCUACCCAAGGAGGCGUUAGGCCCUGAAAAUCCGGACGAGGGUUAGGAUUUGGAAAGGGAGCUACCGGGGGUAGGUUCUCAACUUCGGGUUCAGAGUUAUCAUCAUCCACGAGGUCUUUAGCGUGGUGAUCAUUCAAAGGGAUUGGAUGAUCAUUCUCGGGUUCUUCUCCAAACCAUCCAACAUUGCCUUCAUUCGGAAGGUACGGGUUUUCGUGGGGAUGGAGUCCAGCCAUGUUAUCUACACGAGAAUUGGGGUAAGGAAAUAGCCAUUAGACGAACUAUAUAGAUAAUUAUUUAGAAAAUCUUCAUUAGUUGCAUCACUAUUUGUAAAGUGCAUACCAGUUAUAUGUAAUAAACACAGGAUAGGCCUUCAAAUAAGUGACCUUAACUCCAAAUUCACAAGGAAUAGGGUUAAAGCAAAAAUUUCACAGAUUCUAAGUCUAUAACAUCCUAGUUACAUAUAGCCUUAGUGUAUCCACUUAGCAACUAUCAACUUAGUAAUGAAGAUCCUUUUUAGUUCUCAAGUAGGUAAUUAUAGUAACACAAAACACCCCUAUGGUAUUUUAGACUUAGGUUCUUUUAUAAUGCUCUCAUUGUAGUGGUGUUAGUAAGUUUUUAGACUUGUUGACACAUCACAACCAUUCUUGGGCAUGUGCUAAUCACUCUUCGGAACAACAUAGUUGAUCAGGCUAUGCCACUCCCAAGACUGACCAUACAUCCCCGAGCUUACCUAUGAUAUUCAACAAUCGUAAUACUUUUGUUCUUGUCGUUGUGACACCGAUUUUAGUAUGAAUACAGGCACGUAUACUUACUUAAAUAUUUUAUUAUUUAAAAGUAUAUACUCUUGGUUAGAGUAUUUUUAAUCCCAUUGUAUUUAUAGUUAGUAUAUCUUUUAUGGGUUGAUAUACUUAAUUCACUAUAAACAAUGCUCUGAUACCAAUCUGUCACACCCCAAAACCGAGAACGGCGGAAACGUUCUGGGGCGGAGGACGUCAUGUAAUGUAUCACAACAAUGUAAAGUAGUAAACAAGAAACAACAUCAUCCAUUGCAUUAAUAGUAUAAUUUUAAUUACAAGUGUGUUCUUUCACAGUAUAAGACAACAUAACGAAUAAUCAAAAUAAAAGACGAGUCCUGACUGCUCCGUCUUCACAAAACCUGGUCGUCGUACCUGUCUAGUUGUGACCUGAGAAUACAAGUUAUUUUGAAAGAGAAUAUCAGCCAAAAAGCUGGUGAAUUCAUAAGUAUUAAUGUGUCUUGGAUUUGCAAAACUUGUAAUGAAAGUCUUGACAUUGUUUUGAAAGAAAGUUCGUAUAAGUGUGGAAAUGUUUGUAAGUAAUUGAAAGCGUUUGAUAAACCCUAGAAAUCCCUAUGAUUCCUAUUAGUAUAGAUGAAAUCUUCUACCGAGACCUAACUGUUUUGAAAGUAGCCUUCUACCAAGACCCGACUGUUUUGAAAGUAGCCUUCUACCAAGACCUAACUGUUUUGAAAGUAGUCUUCUACCAAGACCCAACUGUUUUGAAAGUAGUCUUCUACCAAGACCCGACUGUAUGACUAUUAUAAGAAAUUGUAUCCUUUGAUACUAGGAUACACAAAUAUAAUUCACCUCAUCGGUUAUGUGAAUGACUGACAAGAUAAAGGUAAUAAUAUACAUAACUUAAGUAUUAUCCUUUUGUAUUAGGAUAACUAACAAUGUUAACUUAAUACAUCCGUAGAUGUACAUUUACCUCUGUAGCUAACAGCUGGGUGUAGGAAUAGUUAGUCCCUUAAGUAUACCUAUAAUGUUAUCAACCAAAGACAUCCGUAGACGUGCAUUUACCUCUGUAGCUAACAGAGGUUCUAGGAAUGGUUAGUCUCGCAAAGUAUCCUUUGGAACGAGGAUAUAAAGUCCAAUCUAUCUCGUCGAUUAUGUGAUUGUAUCACAAAAUAAAGAUAAGAAGGAGAAUUAUAUAACAGUAUCUACACAUAUAAUAUGUAAUAGUAACUCAUCAUAUAACAUUUACGUAAAAGUAUUCAUGUAAAAGUAUCCAUGUAAACGUACUCAUGUAAGCGUAUCUAUGUAAACGUACUCAUGUAAGCGUAUCUAUGUAAACGUAUUCAUGUAAGCGUAUCUAUGUA
rnacentral:lncRNA from 1 species